rnacentral:rRNA from 1 species
GUGGGGAAUCUUGCGCAAUGGGCGAAAGCCUGACGCAGCCAUGCCGCGUGUGUGAAGAAGGCCUUUUGGUUGUAAAGCACUUUAAGCGAGGAGGAGGCUACCGAGAUUAAUACUCUUGGAUAGUGGACGUUACUCGCAGAAUAAGCACCGGCUAACUCUGUGCCAGCAGCCGCGGUAAUACAGAGGGUGCAAGCGUUAAUCGGAUUUACUGGGCGUAAAGCGCGCGUAGGUGGCCAAUUAAGUCAAAUGUGAAAUCCCCGAGCUUAACUUGGGAAUUGCAUUCGAUACUGGUUGGCUAGAGUAUGGGAGAGGAUGGUAGAAUUCCAGGUGUAGCGGUGAAAUGCGUAGAGAUCUGGAGGAAUACCGAUGGCGAAGGCAGCCAUCUGGCCUAAUACUGACACUGAGGUGCGAAAGCAUGGGGAGCAAACAGGAUUAGAUACCCCUGUAGUCC